rnacentral:ncRNA from 1 species
UGAAGGAUAUUACAUUUUCUUAAUGUUCUGUACGUUUCCCAGCAACUCGGCAACAGGACGUUGCCGAGAGCAAAAGCCGAACCAUGGAUGGUUCGUCUUUUGUGCUUGCGUCCCCUUGCCAAAACCACCAUCAGAACAUUUAAAAAACGUUAUAUCCG